GCCCGUGGUUUGCAUGAAGUUGUUUAGUGUAGUGUUGGUGUUAGCAGUCGAUUUUGCUAGGAUUUAUAGACUCUUUUCUAGUGAGUUAAGCCUUUGAUCAUUACCAAAACUUAGUAGGUUAUUUGAUGAUUGAGUGGAUCUAGGGUUGGGCUAAGUGAAGGCAGGUCUACUUGAGUUUGACCCUUAUGACCAAAAUAAAUUGAGGUGGUUCCUCCAUCCUGAAGUGUAUGUUGGUGCAUAGGGGUCAUUUGUGGGUCUUUGAUAAGCUGCGCUCUUCUGUGCUACUUCAUUGUUGGUUGGACCCAUUAAGAAAGGACAUCCUUCCAUUGUGUGGUCUGUGGCA
rnacentral:lncRNA from 1 species